rnacentral:rRNA from 1 species
UACGUAGGGGGCAAGCGUUGUCCGGAAUCAUUGGGCGUAAAGAGCGUGUAGGCGGCUCGGUAGGUCCGCUGUGAAAGUCCAGGGCUCAACCCUGGAAUGCCGGUGGAAACUGUCGAGCUCGAGUCCGGAAGAGGCGAGUGGAAUUCCUGGUGUAGCGGUGAAAUGCGCAGAUAUCAGGAGGAACACCAAUAGCGAAGGCAGGCUCGCUGGGACGGUAAGCUGACGCUAAGGGCGCGAAAGCGUGGGG